GAUGAGAACGUAGCGAAAUGCGAUAAGUAAUGUGAAUUGCAGAAUUCAGUGAAUCAUCGAAUCUUUGAACGCACCUUGCGCUCCUUGGUAUUCCAAGGAGCAUGCCUGUUUGAGUAUCAUUAAAUUAUCAACUGUGCCAAUUUGGUUACAGAUUGGAUGUGGGAGAUUCUUUUUGCAGGCCUUUGACUUCUCUUUGAGAAAAAAAAUAAAAGGUCGGCUCUCCUGAAAUGUAUUAGCAGUGCCUUUGUUGGUUCAUUAGGUGUGAUAAAUUGUCUACAUCUUCGCAUGAUACCUUCAUUUGUAAAGGUCAUAUUGCUUCUAAAUUGUCUUUGAUUGGACGCAAAACAUAUAUAAUGUUUGACAAACUUGAUCUCAAAUCAGGCAGGACUACCCGCUGAACUUAAGCAUAUCAAUAAGCGGAGGA
rnacentral:misc_RNA from 1 species